CUAUGAGGAUGAUUACUUGUUGAACUCUCUCUUUCUGAAGGAUUAGUGGAGAAGACUUUAAAAUUCUGAAUAGC
ensembl:snoRNA SNORD26 Small nucleolar RNA SNORD26